GAUAGCAAUGAGAAGAAGCAGUGGCGUAAUCGGAAACUCAGUUGUUGUAUAAGCGUGUAUAUAAUAUCUACUUUAUUCAUUUUAGCUGUUGUUUCUUACUUCUAAAAAUAGAGCACACGUAAAACGGAUGAUAAAUUGAAUCAAUAUAUGUGUAAAUAAGAUAUCUAUAAAGUGAGCCACAUACUUAACUCUGCACUACCCGCAACUGAGGAUGAGGAGAGCGAAGAUGAAUCAGAGAUUCUGGAGGAAAGCCCCUGUGGGCGCUGGCAGAAACGGAGAGAAGAGGUAAACCAGCGUAAUGUACCAGGUAUCGACAAUGCUUACCUUGCCAUGGACACAGAGGAAGGCGUGGAGGUGGUGUGGAAUGAGGUCAUGUUUUCUGAGCGGAAGAACUAUAAAGUACAGGAGUGAGGCACCAGGCUCACUGAUGUGAGGUGUGGAGCAUCUCUGAGUGUGCUCGGUCCACUCUGGAGCAUCAGGAUGAGUGGAACAGGAGAGCAGACUGAUAUUUUGGCCGUGGGGAGCGUGGUGCGGGAGUGUUGAAGAAGAUUGGCGGGGGUGGUUUUGGAGAGAUUUAUGAAGUCUUGGACCAGGUGAACCAGGUCAAUGUGGCUUUGAAAGUGGAGUCUGCACAGCAACCCAAACAGGUCCUGAAGAUGGAAGUAGCCGUUCUGAAAAGGCUUCUGGGUGUUUUAUAAACCCAUGGCAGAGUCAGGGCGCUUGACAGAGGCUGAGAUGAACUUGAUCUUUGUGAACUGGCGGGAGUUGAUCGUGUGUAGCACCAAACUCUUAAAAGCUUUGCGUGUCCGUAAGAAGAUGUCAGGUGAGCGGAUGCCCGUGCAGGUGGUGGGUGAUAUUCUGUCCUCGUGCUGCAACAGAAAACAGACAAGUCGCAAGACUUCAAACACUUCCUAAAGAAAAUCGCCAGUAAUUACCGGUGUAAAGGGAUGCCGCUGUCCAGCUUCCUCCUAAAGCCCAUGCAGAGGAUCACACGCUACCCUCUGCUCAUCAAGAAUGACUACGUGGGUGCAGAAGAUCAAAGCGGCAUCUGACCACUUCAUAGAGACUGAGAAGCUCAAGAGGGAAAAAGCCUACCAAGCUCGCUCUCAGAAGAACAAUGGAAUUGGACGACUGUUAGUGACCGUACUAGAGGCAACAGAGCUGAAGGCCUGCAAGCCAAACGGGAAGAGUAAUCCAUACUGUGAGCUCACUAUGGGUGCUCAGUGUUACACCUCCCGCCAUCAGUCCGACACGCUCAACCCCAAAUGGAACUUCAGCUGCCACUUCUUUAUCAAAGACCUGUACCAGGACGUCCUCUGCCUUUCCAUUUUUGAGCGAGUCCAGUUCUCUCCAGAUGGUGAGUUUUGCCACUCUAGGUAGGGCACAUGCAGGAUUGUUAGGCUCCACAAUGGAAACAGACAACACUUUACUUUUAUCACUAUUUAUCCACAUACAGAUAAAGAGCCAUAGUCAAUAUGAAGAUAUACAGGUACAUCUCAAAAAAUUAGAAUAUCAUAAAAAAGGUCAAUAGUUUUUGUCACUCAUUUCAGAAAGUGAAACCCAUAUAUAUUGAGAUUCAUUCAGUGAAAUAUUUCAAGCCUUUAUUUCUUGAAAUUUGGAUGAUUAUGGCUUACAGAUAAUGAAAACCCAAAAUUCAGUGUUUCAGAAAAUUUGAAUAUUACAUAAGGUCAAUAAAAAAGGAUAUUUUAAACAGAAAUGUCAGGCUUCUGAAAGGUAUGUUCAUUUCCAUGCACUCAAUAUUUGGUUGGGCCUCCUUUUGCAUGAAUUACCGCAUCAAUGCGGCUUGGCAUGGAGGCAAUCAGCCUGUGGCACUGCUCAUGUGUAAUGGAAGCCCAGGUGGCUUUGAUAGCGGCCUUCAGGUCAUCUGCAUUGUUGGGUCUGGUGUCUCUCAUCUUCCUCUUGACAAUACAGGUCAGGGUUUGCUGGCCAAUCAAGCACAGUACCACCAAGGUCAUUGAACCAGCUUUUGGUACCUUUGGCAGUGUGGGCAGGUGCCAAGUCCUGCUGGAAAAUGAAAUCUGCAUCUCCAUAAAGCUUGUCAGCAGAAGGAAGCAUGAAGUGCUCUAAAAUUUCCUGGUAGAUGGGUGCGUUGACUGUGGACUUCAGAAAACACAGUGGACCAACACCAGCAGAUGACAUGGCAGCCCAAAUCAUCACUGACUGAAAACUUCACACUGGACGUCAAGCGACAUGGCUUCUGUGCCUCUCCACUCUUCCUCCAGGCUCUGGGACCUUGAUUUCUAAAUGAAAUGCAAAAUUUACUUUCAUCUGAAAAGAGGACCACUGUGUUUUCUGAAGUCCACAGUCAACGCAGCCAUCUAUUACUUUUGGAAAUGGAAAAAAUGAGCUACAACCGAACUGAGAAAAUAACUAUUUUAUUUGUUUCUUUUAAUCUGUACUUCAAUUAUGUGCUUCCUGACAUCUUAAAUGUGCCUUAGUUUUAUUCUUAAUAAGCCAAAAUUACUAUAAUAGAAUAUACUGUCAUGUUGAAAUUUCUGGUACGUUAACUAUAGUGCUGUGAAAUGCAAUGCUUUACUAGUCAUUGACAGCCUUGAUAUGUGCCCGAAAUUAUAUAAAAAUGUAUAAAAAACAAAUUCUAUACCAAUAUGGGCAUUUUGGUUGUAGCUCAUUUUUUCCAUUUACAAAUAGAUUAAAAAGAUGCCACUCUUAUUUAAAACUAAAACUGUUUACAAAUGCCUGUUUUCAGGACAUGCCCAACGUGAAUUUAAUAGUUUGAAGACUCUAUUAGGUGAAGCAUACAUGCACCGCUGCUAAGAUAACAAAAUUUAGGGCUGUCAAACGAUUAACUGCGAUUAAUUGCAUCCAGAAUAUAAGUUUGGUAUACAUAAUAUAUGUCUGUGUUCUGUGCAUAUUUAUUUUGUAUUUAUAAAGACAAACACAUACACGCAUACAUAUUUGGGAAAUAUUUACAUGCGUGUAUUUAUUAUAUAUAUGUAUUUAUUAAAUUAUAUAUAAAUAUUUAUACAUUUUUACAUAUUAUAUUAUCUUAUUAUUUCUGGAUGCAAUUAAUCGCGUUUAAUCACUUGACAGCCCUAAAAAUAAUAUAUGGGGGUAGUAGUUGACAGACUAAUAUGCAAAUUUGUCCUAUGGUGUGCGGCAAACAUUUAUAAAAAAACGUAAAGAUAAAUUUCUCUUAUGCUAUUUUACAUAUUUAAAAUAAAACGUAAUAUAUAGUUUGUUUUCUAAAUUUUGCUGUCACUCCAUAUGACACAUGUACGAUUUAUUCGUCAACUACACAUAUUCUGAAUUGGACUACAAUGCAUUGAUUUUAAAAGUGAUACAAGGAGAGAUUAGCACGUUUUCAUAAAUACAGUGAUGGACAAUAUGUUAAAACUACUGUAUAUGAUCAUAAAAUAUGACAGUAAUAAUAAUACUUUAUACUGUACUUUAUUAUACUGUACUAUAUAAAUAUACUUUUAAUUCUCAAAUGCACACAUUUAUGCUUCUUAGAUGCUUUAAGAAUGUGUAAUAGUCUGUGUAUAUUUGAUUUUAUAGGAUUGCAUUGGGCUUUAAGAACGGACUGGAUCUGAAUGUUGUUCUGUUACAUUUGAGUUGUUGCUGUGGAUAAUGUUUUUAUUUAAUGCACAAUAUUGUUAAACCAAAAUUCUAAAAUAAUACAUUUUGUAAUCUGUAUGACUUUUAAAUGGAUGUCAUUAAAAGGACAAUA